rnacentral:rRNA from 1 species
GGGGAACCAGGACUUUUACUUUGAAAAAAUUAGAGUGUUCAAAGCAGGCCUAUGCUCGAAUACAUUAGCAUGGAAUAAUAGAAUAGGACGUGUGGUUCUAUUUUGUUGGUUUCUAGGACCGCCGUAAUGAUUAAUAGGGAUAGUCGGGGGCAUCAGUAUUCAAUUGUCAGAGGUGAAAUUCUUGGAUUUAUUGAAGACUAACUACUGCGAAAGCAUUUGCCAAGGAUGUUUUCAUUAAUCAGUGAACGAAAGUUAGGGGAUCGAAGACGAUCAGAUACCGUCGUAGUCUUAACCAUAAACUAUGCCGACUAGGGAUCGGGCGAUGUUAUCUUUUUGACUCGCUCGGCACCUUACGAGAAAUCAAAGUUUUUGGGUUCUGGGGGGAGUAUGGUCGCAAGGCUGAAACUUAAAGAAAUUGACGGAAGGGCACCACCAGGAGUGGAGCCUGCGGCUUAAUUUGACUCAACACGGGGAAACUCACCAGGUCCAGACACAAUAAGGAUUGACAGAUUGAGAGCUCUUUCUUGAUUUUGUGGGUGGUGCAUGGCCGUUCUUAGUUGGUGAAGUGAUUUGUCUGCUUAAUUGCGAUAACGAACGAGACCU